rnacentral:rRNA from 1 species
CGUGUAGGCGGUUUUUUAAGUCUGAUGUGAAAGCCCUGGGCUCAACCCGGGAAGUGCAUUGGAAACUGGGAGACUUGAAUACGGGAGAGGGCAGUGGAAUUCCUGGUGUAGGAGUGAAAUCCGUAGAUAUCAGGAGGAACACCGGUGGCGAAGGCGGCUGCCUGGACCGAUAUUGACGCUGAGACGCGAAAGCGUGGGGAGCAAACAGGAUUAGAUACCCUGGUAGUCCACGCGGUAAACGAUGAGUACUAGGUGUCGCGGGUAUUGACCCCUGCGGUGCCGCAGCUAACGCAUUAAGUACUCCGCCUGGGAAGUACGGCCGCAAGGCUAAA